CUAGAGAGCUGGCGCACCUCCUGGGCCUGACGCGGGCUUCCUGGAUUGCAUAAAGGCUCCUUCUCCUUACAUAGCCAGGGCAAAGGUGCAUGACAACUCUGAGCAAGUCAAAACAACCGUCAGCAGCGGGAAACCUCGAUGAACAAACACCGGGAGAGUGGUUUCUGCAGAUCCUGCUUUGUGACUUCGAGUGAAGUGUGGAAGCGCUGGAAGCACUUAGACCCUGCCUGGUGCCGCAGACCCCUGGGAGGCACCAACACCCCGGAUCGAGAAGCCCGAUGGGAAAGAAUGUCUGGGAAGGACGUCAUGCCCGAGGCUUGCGUGACAGUUUCCACUCACAGUGCGCUCACUCUGAACCUCUGUGCACACGAUGGGCCUGCAUCUCUUCCCACUAUCUGCUAGGAAACACGAGGGGGAAGGAAAUGACCGCAGAAGGGAGUGCACCGUGGGGGCAGGAGGUGCUGCGGCCAAUGGGCAGUGCUGGGAGAUGAAACCAACAGCGGCGAUUGCCCCAGAAAGAACUUGGCGCUGCUAAGGCAAUGGCGGCCCGAAAGAGGCCCCUGACGCAUGAGGAGCGGCCGCC
rnacentral:lncRNA from 1 species